rnacentral:rRNA from 1 species
AUUGAACGCUGGCGGCAGGCUUAACACAUGCAAGUCGAGCGGAGUGAUGGUGCUUGCACUAUCACUUAGCGGCGGACGGGUGAGUAAUGCUUAGGAAUCUGCCUAUUAGUGGGGGACAACAUCUCGAAAGGGAUGCUAAUACCGCAUACGUCCUACGGGAGAAAGCAGGGGAUCACUUGUGACCUUGCGCUAAUAGAUGAGCCUAAGUCGGAUUAGCUAGGUGGUGGGGUAAAGGCCUACCAAGGCGACGAUCUGUAGCAGGUCUGAGAGGAUGAUCCGCCACACUGGGACUGAGACACGGCCCAGACUCCUACGGGAGGCAGCAGUGGGAAUACUGGACAAUGGGGGGAACCCUGACCCAGCCAUGCCGCGUGUGUGAAGAAGGCCUUAUGGUUGUAAAGCACUUUAAGCGAGGAGGAGGCUCUUUUGGUUAAUACCCAAGAUGAGUGGACGUUACUCGCAGAAUAAGCACCGGCUAACUCUGUGCCAGCAGCCGCGGUAA